rnacentral:rRNA from 1 species
UACGGAGGGAGCUAGCGUUGUUCGGAAUUACUGGGCGUAAAGCGCACGUAGGCGGCUUUGUAAGUUAGAGGUGAAAGCCCGGGGCUCAACUCCGGAAUUGCCUUUAAGACUGCAUCGCUAGAAUUGUGGAGAGGUAAGUGGAAUUCCGAGUGUAGAGGUGAAAUUCGUAGAUAUUCGGAAGAACACCAGUGGCGAAGGCGACUUACUGGACACAUAUUGACGCUGAGGUGCGAAAGCGUGGGGAGCAAACAGGG